rnacentral:misc_RNA from 1 species
UUGAAUAAACUUGGUUGUUGUUGCUGAUCCUUUGGGAUAUGUGCACACUUCCAAAUUUCUUUACCACCUGUGCACCUUUUGUAGACCUGGAUAUCUUUCGAGUCUUUGACUUGGUUAGAGGGCUGCUGUGCUUUCCCAAGCUAGCUUUCCUUACAUUUCCGGUCUAUGUUUUUCAUACACACUGCAUGUCAUAGAAUGUAAUUGAUAGGCUUCAUUGCCUUUAAAUCUAAUA